rnacentral:rRNA from 1 species
AAAUUUAUAAUUUUUUUUAAUUUGAUUAAAAUUUAUUUAAAAUAAUAUUAUAUAUUUAAGGUUUAAGUAUAGUUUAUAGAAAAAAUUUAAUUAAUUAUAGUUAAUUUGUAUUGUAAAAGAAAAUUGAAAUAAGAAAUAAUUUAUUUAAAAGUAAAAUUAAUUUUUUGUACCUUGUGUAUCAGGGUUUAUUAAAUAAAAAUUAUUUAAAAAUAAUUUUCUCGAAUUUAAGAGAGCUAAUAAAUUAUUUUCUUUAUUGUAAAAAAAAUAUUUAUAAUAAUUUAUUGGUAAUGAAAUGUUAUUCGUUCUUAAAUAUAUCUAGUUUAUUUAGAAAUGAAUUUAAUUCAAAUAUAUUUAUUUUAUUAUAUUAAUUUUUUAAUAUAGUAAAUUUAUAUAUUAAUAAUUAAAGGGAUAAGCUUUUAAUUAAAAAUUUAUAAAUUAGUAUUAAAUAAUAAAAAAUGUAAGUUUAGAAAUAGCUAUCUUUAUUAAUUUGUUAUAAUUAAUUUAUUAAAUAUUAAUAUUUUAUAUAAUUUUAAAUUUUUUAUAAAUAAGUAAUUUUUAAUUAAUUAAAUUUAGUUAUAAUGAUAGAAUUAGUAUAUAAAAAUGUUUAUAUAAUUUAUAAUUAAAGAUUAUAUAAAGGAAUUCGGCAAAAAUUUUACUCGCCUGUUUAACAAAAACAUGUCUUUUUGAUUUUUAUUUAAAGUCUAGCCUGCCCACUGAAUUUUAUUUGAAUGGCCGCAGUAUUUUGACUGUGCAAAGGUAGCAUAAUCAUUAGUUUUUUAAUUAAAAGCUUGUAUGAAAGGUUGGACGAGGUAAAAUCUGUCUCUAUAUAAAUUAUAUUAGAAUUUAAUUUUUAAGUUAAAAAGCUUAAAUUUAAUUAAAAGACGAGAAGACCCUAUAGAACUUUAUAAUUAAUUUAAUUAAAUUAAUUUUGAUUUUUUUAGAUUUAAUUAUUUAAAUUAUUUUAUUGGGGUAAUAGAAAGAUUUAAUAAAUUCUUUUUUUUUAAAAACAUUUAUUUAUGAGUUAGAUGAUCCAAUAUUAUUGAUUAUAAGAUUAAGUUACCUUAGGGAUAACAGCGUAAUUUUUUUAGAGAGUUCAUAUCGAUAAAAGAGUUUGCGACCUCGAUGUUGGAUUAAAGAUUAGUUUAGGUGUAGAAGUUUAAAUUUUUGGUCUGUUCGACCAUUAAAUCUUUACAUGAUCUGAGUUCAGACCGGUGUAAGCCAGGUCGGUUUCUAUCUUUAAAAAAAUAAAAUAUUUUAGUACGAAAGGACCAAAUAUUUAAUAUAAUUAUAUUUAUAUUUUGA